GGGUGUCUAGCUCAGUUGGUAGAGCGCUUGCUUCGCAUGCAUGAGGUCAGGUGUUCGAUUCGCCUGUCAUCCA